UGCGGAGGGAUCAUUACAAGUGACCCCGGUCUAACCACCGGGAUGUUCAUAACCCUUUGUUGUCCGACUCUGUUGCCUCCGGGGCGACCCUGCCUUCGGGCGGGGGCUCCGGGUGGACACUUCAAACUCUUGCGUAACUUUGCAGUCUGAGUAAACUUAAUUAAUAAAUUAAAACUUUUAACAACGGAUCUCUUGGUUCUGGCAUCGAUGAAGAACGCAGCGAAAUGCGAUAAGUAAUGUGAAUUGCAGAAUUCAGUGAAUCAUCGAAUCUUUGAACGCACAUUGCGCCCCCUGGUAUUCCGGGGGGCAUGCCUGUUCGAGCGUCAUUUCACCACUCAAGCCUCGCUUGGUAUUGGGCAUCGCGGUCCGCCGCGUGCCUCAAAUCGACCGGCUGGGUCUUCUGUCCCCUAAGCGUUGUGGAAACUAUUCGCUAAAGGGUGUUCGGGAGGCUACGCCGUAAAACAACCCCAUUUCUAAGGUUGACCUCGGAUCAGGUAGGGAUACCCGCUGAACUUAAGCAUAUCAAUAAGCCGGAG
rnacentral:rRNA from 1 species